CACGCGCCCACUUUGGGCCCACACUGCACAUUAGCCCAAAGCCAGCCGGCCCACCCCGAGACCUCGGCCCUCUCGCUCGAGCCUAGCGCCCAGCCGCCUUCUUCCUCUCCGGUCCUCCCUUCCACACCGCCGCAUCCGAAAUUCCCGCUUCGGCGCACGUUCCGGGUGUGAACCGUCACGCGGCGAGGGCGAGGCAAAGCGCAGCGCCUUUCGCCCGCUUUCCC
rnacentral:lncRNA from 1 species